rnacentral:rRNA from 1 species
UUUUAAUGAGAGUUUGAUCCUGGCUCAGGACGAACGCUGGCGGCGUGCCUAAUACAUGCAAGUAGAACGCUGAGGUUUGGUGUUUACACUAGACUGAUGAGUUGCGAACGGGUGAGUAACGCGUAGGUAACCUGCCUCAUAGCGGGGGAUAACUAUUGGAAACGAUAGCUAAUACCGCAUAAGAGUAAUUAACACAUGUUAGUUAUUUAAAAGGAGCAAUUGCUUCACUGUGAGAUGGACCUGCGUUGUAUUAGCUAGUUGGUGAGGUAAAGGCUCACCAAGGCGACGAUACAUAGCCGACCUGAGAGGGUGAUCGGCCACACUGGGACUGAGACACGGCCCAGACUCCUACGGGAGGCAGCAGUAGGGAAUCUUCGGCAAUGGACGGAAGUCUGACCGAGCAACGCCGCGUGAGUGAAGAAGGUUUUCGGAUCGUAAAGCUCUGUUGUUAGAGAAGAACGUUGGUAGGAGUGGAAAAUCUACCAAGUGACGGUAACUAACCAGAAAGGGACGGCUAACUACGUGCCAGCAGCCGCGGUAAUACGUAGGUCCCGAGCGUUGUCCGGAUUUAUUGGGCGUAAAGCGAGCGCAGGCGGUUCUUUAAGUCUGAAGUUAAAGGCAGUGGCUUAACCAUUGUACGCUUUGGAAACUGGAGGACUUGAGUGCAGAAGGGGAGAGUGGAAUUCCAUGUGUAGCGGUGAAAUGCGUAGAUAUAUGGAGGAACACCGGUGGCGAAAGCGGCUCUCUGGUCUGUAACUGACGCUGAGGCUCGAAAGCGUGGGGAGCAAACAGGAUUAGAUACCCUGGUAGUCCACGCCGUAAACGAUGAGUGCUAGGUGUUAGGCCCUUUCCGGGGCUUAGUGCCGCAGCUAACGCAUUAAGCACUCCGCCUGGGGAGUACGACCGCAAGGUUGAAACUCAAAGGAAUUGACGGGGGCCCGCACAAGCGAUGGAGCAUGUGGUUUAAUUCGAAGCAACGCGAAGAACCUUACCAGGUCUUGACAUCCUUCUGACCGGCCUAGAGAUAGGCUUUCUCUUCGGAGCAGAAGUGACAGGUGGUGCAUGGUUGUCGUCAGCUCGUGUCGUGAGAUGUUGGGUUAAGUCCCGCAACGAGCGCAACCCCUAUUGUUAGUUGCCAUCAUUAAGUUGGGCACUCUAGCGAGACUGCCGGUAAUAAACCGGAGGAAGGUGGGGAUGACGUCAAAUCAUCAUGCCCCUUAUGACCUGGGCUACACACGUGCUACAAUGGUUGGUACAACGAGUCGCAAGCCGGUGACGGCAAGCUAAUCUCUUAAAGCCAAUCUCAGUUCGGAUUGUAGGCUGCAACUCGCCUACAUGAAGUCGGAAUCGCUAGUAAUCGCGGAUCAGCACGCCGCGGUGAAUACGUUCCCGGGCCUUGUACACACCGCCCGUCACACCACGAGAGUUUGUAACACCCGAAGUCGGUGAGGUAACCUUUUAGGAGCCAGCCGCCUAAGGUGGGAUAGAUGAUUGGGGUGAAGUCGUAACAAGGUAGCCGUAUCGGAAGGUGCGGCUGGAUCACCUCCUUUCUA